GACGAACGCUGGCGGCGUGCUUAACACAUGCAAGUCGAACGAUGAAGCUAGAGCUUGCCCUGGUGGAUUAGUGGCGAGCGGGUGAGUAACACGUGAGUAACCUGCCCCGAACUCUGUGAUAACUGCUGGAAACGGUAGCUAAUACCGGAUAUGACUAAUGAAGGCCUCUUCUGUUGGUGGAAAGAAUUUCGGUUCGGGAUGGCCUCGCGGCCUAUCAGCUUGUUGGUUAGGUAACGGCUCACCAAGGCGACGACGGGUAGCCGGCCUGAGAGGGUGAUCGGCCACACUGGGACUGAGACACGGCCCAGACUCCUACGGGAGGCAGCAGUGGGGAAUAUUGCACAAUGGGCGCAAGCCUGAUGCAGCAACGCCGCGUGAGGGACGACGGCCUUCGGGUUGUAAACCUCUUUUAGUAGGGAAGAAGCGAAAGUGACGGUACCUGCAGAAAAAGCACCGGCUAACUACGUGCCAGCCGCCGCGGUAA
rnacentral:rRNA from 1 species